GGGUUGUGAGGUUAAGCGACUAAGCGUACACGGUGGAUGCCCUGGCAGUCAGAGGCGAUGAAGGACGUGCUAAUCUGCGAUAAGCGCCGGUAAGGUGAUAUGAACCGUUAUAACCGGCGAUUUCCGAAUGGGGAAACCCAGUGUGACUCGUCACACUAUCAUUAACUGAAUCCAUAGGUUAAUGAGGCGAACCGGGGGAACUGAAACAUCUAAGUACCCCGAGGAAAAGAAAUCAACCGAGAUUCCCCCAGUAGCGGCGAGCGAACGGGGAGGAGCCCAGAGCCUGAAUCAGCAUGUGUGUUAGUGGAAGCGUCUGGAAAGGCGCGCGAUACAGGGUGACAGCCCCGUACACAAAAGCGCAUAUGCUGUGAGCUCGAUGAGUAGGGCGGGACACGUGGUAUCCUGUCUGAAUAUGGGGGGACCAUCCUCCAAGGCUAAAUACUCCUGACUGACCGAUAGUGAACCAGUACCGUGAGGGAAAGGCGAAAAGAACCCCGGCGAGGGGAGUGAAAAAGAACCUGAAACCGUGUACGUACAAGCAGUGGGAGCACCCUUUGGGGUGUGACUGCGUACCUUUUGUAUAAUGGGUCAGCGACUUAUAUUCUGUAGCAAGGUUAACCGAAUAGGGGAGCCGGAGGGAAACCGAGUCUUAAUUGGGCGUUAAGUUGCAGGGUAUAGACCCGAAACCCG
rnacentral:rRNA from 1 species